GAUGAACGCUAGCGGCAGGCUUAAUACAUGCAAGUCGUGGGGCAGCGCAGUGUAGCAAUACAUGGGCGGCGACCGGCAAACGGGUGCGGAACACGUACGCAACCUUCCUUCAAGUGGGGAAUAGCCCAGGGAAACUUGGAUUAAUACCCCCGUAACAUUAUUGAAUGGCAUCAUUUGAUAAUUAUAGCUCCGGCGCUUGAAGAUGGGCGUGCGACUGAUUAGGUAGUUGGCGGGGUAACGGCCCACCAAGCCUACGAUCAGUAACUGGUGUGAGAGCACGACCAGUCACACGGGCACUGAGACACGGGCCCGACUCCUACGGGAGGCAGCAGUAAGGAAUAUUGGUCAAUGGACGCAAGUCUGAACCAGCCAUGCCGCGUGGAGGAUGAAGGUCCUCUGGAUUGUAAACUUCUUUAUCUGGGAUAAAAGGCCUUGCGAGGCAAACUGAAGGUACUAGAUGAAUAAGCCACGGCUAACUACGUGCCAGCAGCCGCGGUAAUC
rnacentral:rRNA from 1 species